AGAUGUGAUUGGAGGUGGUGAUUGGUGGAUGGCUGUGCUGAAGGAUAGAUGUGAUUGGAGGUGGUGAUUGGUGGAUGGCUGUGCUGAAGGAUAGAUGUGAUUGGAGGUGGUGAUUGGUGGAUGGCUGUGCUGAAGGACAGAUGUGAUUGGAGGUGGUGAUUGGUGGAUGGCUGUGCUGAAGGACAGAUGUGAUUGGAGGUGGUGAUUGGUGGAUGGCUGUGCUGAAGGACAGAUGUGAUUGGAGGUGGUGAUUGGUGGAUGGCUGUGCUGAAGGACAGAUGUGAUUGGAGGUGGUGAUUGGUGGAUGGCUGUGCUGAAGGAUAGAUGUGAUUGGAGGUGGUGAUUGGUGGAUGGCUGUGCUGAAGGAUAGAUGUGAUUGGAGGUGGUGAUUGGUGGAUGGCUGUGCUGAAGGACAGAUGUGAUUGGAGGUGGUGAUUGGUGGAUGGCUGUGCUGAAGGAUAGAUGUGAUUGGAGGUGGUGAUUGGUGGAUGGCUGUGCUGAAGGACAGAUGUGAUUGGAGGUGGUGAUUGGUGGAUGGCUGUGCUGAAGGACAGAUGUGAUUGGAGGUGGUGAUUGGUGGAUGGCUGUGCUGAAGGAUAGAUGUGAUUGGAGGUGGUGAUUGGUGGAUGGCUGUGCUGAAGGACAGAUGUGAUUGGAGGUGGUGAUUGGUGGAUGGCUGUGCUGAAGGACAGAUGUGAUUGGAGGUGGUGAUUGGUGGAUGGCUGUGCUGAAGGAUAGAUGUGAUUGGAGGUGGUGAUUGGUGGAUGGCUGUGCUGAAGGACAGAUGUGAUUGGAGGUGGUGAUUGGUGGAUGGCUGUGCUGAAGGACAGAUGUGAUUGGAGGUGGUGAUUGGUGGAUGGCUGUGCUGAAGGACAGAUGUGAUUGGAGGUGGUGAUUGGUGGAUGGCUGUGCUGAAGGACAGAUGUGAUUGGAGGUGGUGAUUGGUGGAUGGCUGUGCUGAAGGAUAGAUGUGAUUGGAGGUGGUGAUUGGUGGAUGGCUGUGCUGAAGGACAGAUGUGAUUGGAGGUGGUGAUUGGUGGAUGGCUGUGCUGAAGGACAGAUGUGAUUGGAGGUGGUGAUUGGUGGAUGGCUGUGCUGAAGGAUAGAUGUGAUUGGAGGUGGUGAUUGGUGGAUGGCUGUGCUGAAGGAUAGAUGUGA